CAACAAAUUCCGCAGCGCUUUACAGUGGGUGGACAAACAGACAUGUAGUUGUAACCAGACAAGUUGGACACACAGGUACAGAGGAGUUGAGGGCCCUGCUCAAUGAGCUUAUAUGCUAGAGUGGGGUAAAGUGACACAAAAGGUAAGGAUAGUAUUAGACUAGUGACAGUUGCAAGAUAGGAAUCAGUCGGGAGCCAUUAACAGUUUAAUUGAUAGGCAUUUAAGAAGAAGUGGGUUUUUAAUUAUUUU